AAAGUGGCACAGCCAAGAAUGCACUCCAGAUUCAGUGCUCUCCCCCUCUUAAGUCCCUCUGGCACCCAGACGAUCCUUUUGCCCUCUCCUCAGUUGGUGCAGGGUAUGAUCAGAGUCUACUAAAGCCUGGCAUGUGGGUCUGAGGGUGCUGGGCCUCCAGUGGCCGGCUCCACCCCCAGACGAAGGCCCUGCCCCACUGCUUUGGCCCGCAUUGCCUCGACGCUACCCCAGCUCGCUCCACAGACCCUGGCCACACCCCCUCGGCCCACCAGAUUCCUCAGGCUGGCCCCGCCCCUGUCCCAGGCACCCACCCGGCCCCGCCCCGGAGGCCCUGCCCCCUCCUUGCAGGGCCCGCAGCGUCCCUGAGCUCCCACAGUCCUGAAUUCCAGCUCCAAGGGGACACGGGGAGGGGCCGAGGCCCCAACGGGGAAACACCAAGACUUGGUGACGGCAGCACACGUCGGGGUCUGCGUUUCCUUCCUCAAAUGCUUCUCACGCUCGGCUCCACAUCUGCCUCUUGAAGGAAGAUUUAAAAAUCUCACUGACCUGGCCCCACCUCCUCUGAACUAGAUCGGAACAUCAAGAGACUAUACACCGUGAACCAGCUGGGGCCCCGAGACGGGGGGUAGGAGCUUCGCUGCAAUCUCCACGAUCAGGUUCAGCUAGAGACAGUGACCCACACACAGACUGAGAAUGAGGUGAUGCAGGGGGCCAUGGCCAGCUCUGGGAGCUUAAUAAUACAGUCGUAAAUAAAGGUAAUAAUAAUACCUGCCAUGUGUCAAGGAUUUAUUGUAAGCAAACACUGCUAAAUACUUUUCAUCAACAGUCUUAUUUUACUCUCCCUGCAAUCUGUGGGCAGAGGCACAUUUAUUUAAUAUGUACUCAUUUUACAGAUGUGGAAACUGAGCCUCAGCUAGGCUGAGAAACUUGGCCGGGAUCACACAGGUGAGCUAGGAUGUGGCCCCAGACCAUGGGUCCCCAGAGCCUAGGCUAUUGGUUGAUGUUCAAUCAGUUUCUAAGAGCAAAGAAUGGAAUAUAUAGGGAGACACUCUGAAGCUUCAUGAAGCUUGGCCGGUUCUGUAACGUACUGCCCGUGAUUAUCUAAGUAUCUGUUGUUGUUUUUUUAAGUCAGAGGGCUGGGGUAUGGACGGGUCCGGUGGACAGUGAUGAGGCGCGUUCCCAGCAUUACCAACUAGAGGCCCCAGAGGGAGGGUGAAUGCUAUUUGGUAGUUCAAGCCAGACUGGCUUCAGGGGGGUCACCAGGAAUGCAGGACCGGCCUAGGUCCUGGAUAAAGGGAAAACCUUAUACAACUGCUGUUGCACCUUGACAUCAGCCGUGUGAUUUAUCUCCGUGUUUGAGACUCAGCCUGGGCAGUGGAAGAGCCCAGGACCUCACUGAAAGGUCCAGGUUCACGUCCCAGCUUUGCUGCUCAGUCGCUGUGUGACAUCAGGCAAGUUACCUGUCCUCUGGAAGACCCAGUUUCCUUGACCGUGAGGUGGAGCCAUUGCUCAGGCUGCUGGGCUGGGAGGCUGGCUGACAUUGGUAAUCGCUCUCUACCUGUUAACUGGAUAAACAAAACAACUUUGCACUCUGCCAACUGCUCUAGGUGUGGCUGUUAUUUAAGAAGCCACUGUAGGGUGUCCUGAUCCUGUGUCUGACAGACGUGGGUUUGAAUUUUGGCUCUGUCACCUGACUCUGUGUCUGUGGACAUGCCUGUCACAUCCGUCUAAAUCUCAGUUUCGUCAUCUGUAAAAUGGGAAGAAUACAUACAUCCAUUGUACAGGGUUAAGAUGGAGAUCAGUGGAGGUUAAAUACACACACACAUGGCAGGGGCUUAGUGCAGGAUCCAAUUUAUAGUGGCUACCCUGUAGGUGACAGCUCGAUCUGUGGUCACCUACUGUUUCCAGUCCAGUAGGACUUGGCCUCUGUCCCUUGGCUAAGAUCUGGGAAGGCUUUGGUGGGGUGGCUGGGGCCGAUGGUUCCCUAUAUGCCCCAACCUGGGAUUUCAACGUGAUAAAACAGACUCUGACCAGGGUAGCCAGACUUUCCAGGGAGGGGUAUUGGUGGGGGCUGGUCCAGGAGCAACCAUCCAGCCUGACGGAAAGCAAAAGCUGGCUUGGAAGUUUCAGGGAAACCAGCCCAAGGCCCUCAUUUUGGAGGAAACUGAGGCCCAGGAAGAUGCAGGGGGUGUGCUCAAGAGCACAGAGAUGGAGACGGAAAACUGACUCUAGAAGCUGCCUAAAACCUUGUUAGGAAAGCAGAAAGCAGAAGCAAGCAGCCAGAAAUGACAAGGUUCUUACCUGUGCCUUCUCUUCUUGGAGAAUGACCUGAUUAAAGGAAUUAAAAGGAAGAGAGACAGGGAGGGAGGGAAGGGAGAGAGGAGGGAGGAAGGAAGAAAAUAAAUACAGGUGAGUCUGAGAUUUGUUUUCCUGGGACAAACGUAUCAGUGCAUUUAUGGUCAUGCUACACGGGGGUCAGGACACCCGGCGAAUCCUCCUGUCACAGAUUUCGGACAAUGGACACCAUAUAGGAGAUACUGGUUUGCAUUUUGAAUUUCAGUCAAACCCACCGGAGCUUCAGUCCUCACCCCAAAAUUGUCAGUGAGCCUGUCUCAGUUGGGGGUGGAUGAAGGGGAUAUACAAGAGUCCUCUGCCUCCUCCCCUACCCCCGGGUGGGGUGAGCCUAGUGGUGGACUCUUCAUCCUCCUCCUCCUCAUCAUCACGGGACAACCAGCUCCCACGUGUGGAACUUAACUGCGCCAGGCUCCAUGCUAAGCGUCUCCCACACGCUCAGUCUUCACCCAAACCCUGGGAAGUUCUAGUAACAACCAUUUUGUAGACGCUGAAGCUCAGAGAAGUUAGUUAAGUUGCCCAAGGUCACACAGCUCCACCCACGUAAGUCCUAGGGAUUCUUCAGAGCUCCGCUCAGAUAUCACCUCCUUGUAGCAUUUUCUGAUCCCCUCAGGCUGGUUGGGUGCCCCAAGCUUGGGUGAGCUUCUGAGCUUAGUCUUAUACUGCCCUCUGCACAUUAUAAUGACUCAUCUUCCCCACUAGAAGGUGAGCCACUUGAGGUCCAGGGCUGGGUUUUGGUCACUGUUCUGUUCCCGAAGCCCAGAAUCUUAUUCAUGGGAUAUACUGGGUAUUCAAUAAAUAGAUGUGAAAAAUGGGAUUUUGUUUUGUUUUGUUUUAGCCCUGAAGCCAUGUUCAUGGAGGGGAGAGAAAGAAAAAUCUCUAUGCAUCCCCCACCCCUAGCUCCUAUCUCCAAAAAAGUCCACUAUCAUUAACCCAACAUCUCAAGAGCUUGGAGAAGCAGGGCCAGGUGGUGCUUAGCAGGUGGUUUGGAAAAUACCAGCAAUAGCAUCUUCCCCUCUUAAUCUCCACCUCCUGGGCUAAGCGUGGCUGGCAGAAAAAGCUGUUCCUAACUUUCUGGCACAGUCUCUUUCUCAAUGAGGAGAAACCCUUGAGUGAGAAGCCAUUUGACUUCUAAGAUCCUGAUAUGGAAAGGUCCCCCAAAAUAGGACAGAUUGGUCAGCAGAGGAAGGCGGCAUUGCCGCCACAGGGGACCCCACGUCGGGAAAGGUUUCUAACACCAAAUUAACAACGUUUUGCUAAUCAGCUUUCCCACGUUGUGCUAAGCGUGGACUCAACAGUCGAAAUGUCUGGGCAGGCAGUGGACAUAGCUGGUGACACCAGACUGAGUUGAGACCAUUCUGGCAACAAGGGCUGAGAUGUGGCCACACCCCUGGCUUGGAAAAAGCCACUUUGCGGGCAACUUUGAACCAACGGUGGGAUGCAGGGGGGAAACCCCCAUGCACUCUUCUCCUUUGUUCCACUGUGAUUGUUUAAUUGCACAAGUAAUCCACCACUGACGUAGGCAGAUUGGAAGAGAGGGAUAAGCAAAAAAGGAUAUAUACCGCUCUUUCCGUACCGUCCACAGCCAAACAUAGCAAAGAACUUACACUGGGAAUUUCAAACUCCCUGCCCCCAGGGCCAAGCGGGCUUCGUAAAUGUGUGUGAGGGGGCGCUAAGUGGGGCCUGUAGCACACGAAAGCACCUAUGCUCUGUCUAAAUGCACAGCAAUCCCUCAACCCUAGCUGGUGGCCUCCUGUGGGAAAAGUGGCCCAGUGAAGGCAGAGCUGCUGAUUUAACGGAGGAACUGGAAAACUUGAUUUUUUUGUUUUAUUAUGCAAUCUCCCAAUUAUAAAAUGCUGAGUUGGCCCAUGAGCCACAGAUUUGAGUCCUCUGGUGUACAUCCUUCCAGUUCUUUAAUUCCCCCCCCCCCCACACAUACAUGUGUGUGUGUACGUGUGUGAGUAGCGGGCACCUUUUGGAAUGUGUGUCCAGCUCACAAUGCCCCUUAACAACGUCCACAAGGGUGGACAAUCCCAGAAGCCAUGUUUUACAUGUUCCAUCCUCUAGGACAAGUGGGACCCACCAGAGAGGCCCUUCCUUGGGAAUCUGGAAUAAGGAACAAGCCAGAGGGCUCCUGUGUCUUCUUGUGGCUGGGUCUGCCACACGAAGACAUGGGAACAGGGUGCAGCCGUGUCUCCCCGUGUGGAACAGGGACUGUGUAUCCUGCUUGGGUGCUACCAGCUCUCCACCCCCUGGUCCCAGCCCCUCACUGAGGUCUGACUGGUUCCUGAGACACUCCUGCCUCCUUAUCAUCACACAUCCCUACGGGCCGGAGUUGGCUUUAGUGGGCCUCGGUUCCUUGCAACCAAGUUCUAAGUUAGACAAGAAAAAGGAAAUAACAACACACAGGUGAGUAUUGUACAUAAGUGAAAUGAUAAGUUUCCCAGUGAACUCUGGGCGCCACCCACUCCCACCCCAACCCCCACCCCACCCGGAGGAGGAGGAGGGUGUUUGCCAAGGAGGAAGAAGGACAAUACCUGUGUCGCUUAUGUUUCUUGGAACCUUUCUUCUUCUUUUUCUUGACAGGCGAUGGACUGUAUGAUGGGGACCUGCCAGGGGAGGAGACACCUUCAGAGGGAUGUUCUUAAGGGCCAGCGUGGGCUUUCAGAGACCCUUCUCCCGUCCCCACACAGGGUCUCAGCUCUUUCGGUAACACACACAAGGGUAAUACGGAUACUGACAUUAACAGUACUUGCAUUUAUCUAUUUGAUAUAAUCAAGUCUGCAUUUGUUUUCAAUGUCACCAUGUGCUUUAUAGGCAUUAUCUCAUCUAAUCUUUCCACACGCUCCCCACGGAGGGACAAUUGCUACCUUCCUGUUUCAUACAAGGAAAGUGAGGUUCAGAGAGGUAAAGUGACUCAUCCAAAGACACACAGCUAAGACGUGCAUGAGCCGAGCUUCAAACUGAAGCCUCACUGAGAGCAGGGGCCUUGCUCUCAAUCCCUUUUUUGCCUGCUGCUCUCCCCUAAGCUCUGCCCUUCCUCUCAGAUACUUGAGGUCUCUCUUGUGCCUCACCCUGUCUCCCCGGUAGGGCCGAGCCCUUGCAGGAGACCUCGUCAGGCUGUGGUCGGCACGGGUGGUGCUCUCAGGGCUUACCCAAGAAACAGAGCCACCCCAGGAACCUGACUAUGAUUCAAGACUGAAGUUCAAGUGACCCGAGUUCCAAGCUUGACUGUACCCCCGACCCACGAAGUCACCUUGGACAUGUCACUGCUCAUCUCUGCAUCUUUCAUUUCACCACUGACAAAAUAUCAAGGCUGAAACAGAUUAGGAGUUUCAAAGUCAAUGCCAACAGGGGCCUCUCAGCAGGAGGGGUGUAAGACAAUAGAGAGUGGUGAGGACUGUGGUGAACCAGAGAGCAUCUGCUUCUCAGAUCGGCCGGAGGUCUUAGGUAGGAAUGCAGUCCUGGGCUUCUGGAACGCCUGCCUUUUCAACACAAAUCACCAGAAAAACACAUCUUCAUGUGAAAUCUGGUUUUUAAAUGAUGGCCACCAAUUAGACAAAAGAGGAGCACUUGGGUGGUUCAGUUGGUUAAGUGCCCUGACUCUUGAUUUUGGCUUGGGUCAUGAUCUCAUGGCUCCUGGGAUCAAGCCCUGUAUUGGGCUCUGUGCUGACAGCAUGGAGCCUGCUUGGGAUUCCCUCUCUCCCUCUCUUUUCCUCUGCCCCUUCCCUGCUUUCUCUCUUUCUGUAAAUAAAUAAAUAAACUUAAAAAAAAAAAAAAGACAAAAUAAGCCCUUGUAGGUCAAACAGAACAUGUCUUUGGGGGGAAAUGCAGGGUUGAGAACAACUUCUCUUAGGGGACCACAGCACCUGUCCCCCAAACACAUGCCCAGGGGACAUUUAUUGGAUGAACAAUUGAAUUAGUGAAGCCUGAUUUCCUUCUUUGAAGUGUUCUGCCCACCCCUAAAAUCGGGAACCUCAAAGCCACUUGCCCCAAUUCCGCCCCCUCACCCUACGAUGUAGGGUUUCAUUCACACUCCCCUCUGGGUCUUCUUUGGGCCUUAGAACAAGGCUAAAAGGGCAUAGCAAGAACCCGGAAAAUCUGGAGUUGGGGCCCGAGUCUUCCAGACACUGCUCUCUGCUGCCCCCUGCAGGCCUCUUCAAACACUGCCUCUGAGGUUUGGCGAGAUUUUCAACCUGACCCCCUCUGGGUCUGGAACACUGGACAUAAUUGUCGUCUUGAAGAAAAUCUGGAAGUACUUUUAAAUUAAAAAAAAAAAUUAGAAGAGAUUUUACAAAGAAAAAAUCCAUGGGGCACAAAAGACUAAUUGCUGGCCAAAAAUAUAAACUUCAUUUUCCUUGGCAUUCAUCUGCUAGGUGGGAGUAGUAGAAUCAACUGAGGAGACUGGGAUCCCUGUAAAUCUGUCACCCUC